UGUUUGGACCCAUGAGCAGCAGAUGUUCAACUCUGUAUAACCCAUGGCUGGAUUAUCCAGGCAGAUCAGAGUCCCUCCUCGGCGCUCUCUUCAUUGGCACUGUCAUAUCCUCAUUCAGGGUGCUGCACACUGGUACAGUCAGCUGCAACCUGCUCCAAUUCGUCUUCGUCAGGAGUGAAAAAGGGCAGCAGAUGACAAAGUGUAACGCGUCUGUAAUGUGUGCGGGCUUAUUGAGAGCAGGCGGACAUUCCAGUUCAUUACGCUGCAGAAACACCGAUUUAUUGAAAUGACUGUUCCACUGAGGAAUCAAGUGCAAGUGAAGCAUGCAUCUUGUUAAACACCCCACAGAAGCCCCCCGCUCGAGCCGUGUGCCUCUCCUCUCCUCGCUGCCUGUCAGGAGCCUUUUAAAGUCUGAAAUAGACGCAUUGACACCUGCCUGACAGCUGCCCGACAGACAUGACACGGCUGGGCCAUACCUGCAUGAUGAAGUGCCUGGACUUGUUUAUUUCUACUCUAUUCGAGUAUCUUUAAAGAUAAACAGGUUAGCCAGUAUUAUAUGUGAUGAUAUGGUCUACAUGACCUUCUUAAACAUUUUUAGUGUAGCUACAAAAUGAUUGACCUGUUUUAUUUAAAAUCUCUUUUUAUUAUUAAAGCGUUUGAUUUCGUCAU